CUUUAAAAAAAUAAAAAUAAAAAAUCCAUCAAACUAAUUGUAGAAAAUCAGUAAAAUUCUGGUUAUUUUGGUUGAAUUUUUUGCCUAAUUGAAACAAUAACCAAAAACUGAAUUUUUUAGAGAGUACUAAUUGAACCAAACCAAAAACCAUGUUGUUUGAGGAAAAGUAAAGAGGAAAGGUGUCUACUGAAUUGCUAUGAUUUGUUUUAUUAUUUCAAUCAUAACAAAAUCUAACUCAACCUAGGUUGGGAAUAGAGAUCUUUUGUUCCAGUGGCAACAUGCUGGUGCCAAACCUCAAACUGUAGCAUGAUUAAGAAAAGGAGG
rnacentral:misc_RNA from 1 species